UCUUAGUGGUUGUGGUUUUGCACAUGUGCCAAAUUUGUUUACUGCAUCGUUCAGCAGUUUCAGUGGUCUCCCAGACAUGGCAACGCCAGACCCUUAACUCACUGAACAAAGCCAGGAAUCAAACCCACAUCCUCAUGGAUCCUAGUUGGGUUUGUUACUGCUGAGCUAUGACCGGAACUCCUGCAAUGCGUUUUUUGCCUCAGUAGAAGAAGAGCGAAAGAGGAAGCCAAGACUUUAAAAAGGAUGCUUGAAGCAGCUGAAAGCUCCACCCACCCCAAACAGGUGAAAGUCACAGAGCUUCCUCCAGUCCCUCCUUUCCUGUGAGAAGAAUAAUUGGAGAAGAAGGCAAACAAAUCAAGACAUAUGAUCUUCCUAGGCAGACUUCCUAUCUUCCAUGAGACCAGACCUCACCAACUCAAAUGCCUACAGAAGCCAGACAGGCCAGUGGGAGUGGACAGAGUGGGUAUGAAAUCCUAAGAGUGGGGGGGGUCGUGUGGCCAACUCAGAAGCGUAUGCACAGCCCUCCCGACUUCCCCAUCUGUUCACUUCCAGCCACUUGUUAAAUAGAAACUCAGGUCCGGAGUGUCCAGAACUUUGGGUUUUUUUGUUUUUUUUUUUUUUUUUUUUUCAUGAGGCUCCCAAAGUCUGGCUAUUUUAAUGUGAAAUCUCCCAAUUUGUAAAUGUUGGCAACUAAUUAAAAACAUUUCAAAACAACGUGAAGGCCAAAGAAAACAUGUCCAGGGGCCAGCUGUGGCCUGUGAGCCCUGGUGUGCGACCUGUGUGACAGGCUGCAGAGCUAUUGCAAUUCCCUAAGAUAGUUGGGGUACAUAAAGGAGGAGCCAGAAAUGGCCUAGCCUCUUGGCUUCAGAUGGACGUUUAACAACCUGCAAGAAGGAAAGGUGGGUCCCUGCGGAAACCCUGGGCAAGCAGCCAGCACUGGUUGGCCCAGGCCUUUUGGACUGACAAUUGUUUCACUUUGUCCAAGAAAUAAUCUCCUUGGAAUAAGUUAGCAGAUAGACGUGGAGGUCUCAUUUAAAGAGCGUGCUGGCCUGAAGAGAUGAAUCAGAAGUCCACGUGUUUCCACUCAAGAGCAAGAAGGUACGAAAGCCAGUGGGGCUGAGAUGCCAGGUCCCAGUUUUUCCAGGGAGGAAAGGAGGACGAUGGGAAAUUGAUGAGGGAUGCACUGUUAUUUGGGUGAUAGAGAAGUGGGGUCGGGGGAAGAGGCACAAUGAGCAGCCUGGACCCUGGGGAGCCAGAGUGGCCCCCACGGUAGAUGCUGGUAGACGCGGUCAGAGCCCGCCUCCCCCAGCGCCUAUCUUUUCAAGUCACUACUCAGGUUCAACCAGCCCGAACUGUUCAAAAGAACACAAAUAGUGAGGCUGCCUCUUUCUCUCUGAAGCUACAGUCCUUGAACAACGGUCCCCACGAGGACAUGCUGGGAAUGCUUGGGGGAGCACUGCGAUGGAGUCCUGGAACAGCAAAGGAGAAGGCCAUGUGCACAGAGCUGAAAAACAAUAUUCACUAAUUUACAACUAUUAAUUAAAAGCCCUGUCACCAAGCCAAGCACUCCAGCGUGAUUUUAAUAUUCUCCGUCCCCUCACCCCCAAGGUCGUUUCCAACUUCUCCAAGGAGGGGGUUGCAGAGAAUACGCAGAGGAAAUGCACGGAGCCUGGGCAAGCCGGCUGGGGAGCAGACGCCUUGGGCCUUUGGGUUUGCACUAACUAUCCUGCCUCCUCAGAGCUGAGACAAUGCCUUGCAUUCACUAGCAUCUCAGAGCUCCGGUGCUCUGCUGAGGAGCAGGAAAAAAAAAAAAAAAAAAAAAAAAA